rnacentral:rRNA from 1 species
GUAGGUGGCAAGCGUUGUCCGGGAAUUAUUGGGGCGUAAAGCGCGCGCAGGCGGUUCUUUAAGUCUGAUGUGAAAGCCCACGGGCUCAACCGUGGAGGGUCAUUGGAAACUGGAGAACUUGAGUACAGAAGAGGAAAGCGGAAUUCCACGUGUAGCGGUGAAAAUGCGUAGAGAUGUGGAGGAACACCAGUGGCGAAGGCGGCUUUCUGGUCUGUAACUGACGCUGAGGCGCGAAAGCGUGGGGAGCAAACAGGAUUAGAUACCCUGGUAGUCCACGCCGUAAACGAUGAGUGCUAAGUGUUAGGGGGUUUCCGCCCCUUAGUGCUGCAGCUAACGCAUUAAGCACUCCGCCUGGGGAGUACGGCCGCAAAGGCUG